ACGGGUGAGUAACGCGUGGGUAACCUGCCUUGUACUGGGGGACGAACAGUUAGAAAUGACUGCUAAUACCGCAUAAGCGCACAGUAUCGCAUGAUACAGUGUGAAAAACUCCGGUGGUACAAGAUGGACCCGCGUCUGAUUAGCUAGUUGGUAAGGUAACGGCUUACCAAGGCGACGAUCAGUAGCCGACCUGAGAGGGUGACCGGCCACAUUGGGACUGAGACACGGCCCAGACUCCUACGGGAGGCAGCAUG
rnacentral:rRNA from 1 species